rnacentral:rRNA from 1 species
UAAGGAAUAUUGGUCAAUGGACGCAAGUCUGAACCAGCCAUGCCGCGUGAAGGAUGAAGGUCCUCUGGAUUGUAAACUUCUUUUAUAGGGGGCGAAACACUUUUUAUCUAAAGAGCUUGACAGUACCCUAUGAAUAAGCACCUGCUAACUCCGUGCCAGCAGCCGCGGUAAUACGGAGGGUGCAAGCGUUAUCCGGAUUUACUGGGUUUAAAGGGUGCGUAGGCGGAUUUGUAAGUCCGAGGUGAAAUCUCCGAGCUUAACUCGGAAACUGCCUUGGAUACUAUAAGUCUUGAAUGACGUUGAGGUUAGCGGAAUAUGUCAUGUAGCGGUGAAAUGCUUAGAUAUGACAUAGAACAUCUAUUGCGAAGGCAGCUAACUAAGCGUAAAUUGACGCUGAUGCACGAAAGCGUGGGGAUCAAAC